AGAGUUUGAUCCUGGCUCAGGACGAACGCUGGCGGCGUGCCUAAUACAUGCAAGUAGAACGCUGAAGAGAGGAGCUUGCUCUUCUUGGAUGAGUUGCGAACGGGUGAGUAACGCGUAGGUAACCUGCCUUGUAGCGGGGGAUAACUAUUGGAAACGAUAGCUAAUACCGCAUAACAAUGGAUGACACAUGUCAUUUAUUUGAAAGGGGCAAUUGCUCCACUACAAGAUGGACCUGCGUUGUAUUAGCUAGUAGGUGAGGUAACGGCUCACCUAGGCGACGAUACAUAGCCGACCUGAGAGGGUGAUCGGCCACACUGGGACUGAGACACGGCCCAGACUCCUACGGGAGGCAGCAGUAGGGAAUCUUCGGCAAUGGGGGCAACCCUGACCGAGCAACGCCGCGUGAGUGAAGAAGGUUUUCGGAUCGUAAAGCUCUGUUGUAAGUCAAGAACGAGUGUGAGAGUGGAAAGUUCACACUGUGACGGUAGCUUACCAGAAAGGGACGGCUAACUACGUGCCAGCAGCCGCGGUAAUACGUAGGUCCCGAGCGUUGUCCGGAUUUAUUGGGCGUAAAGCGAGCGCAGGCGGUUUGAUAAGUCUGAAGUUAAAGGCUGUGGCUCAACCAUAGUUCGCUUUGGAAACUGUCAAACUUGAGUGCAGAAGGGGAGAGUGGAAUUCCAUGUGUAGCGGUGAAAUGCGUAGAUAUAUGGAGGAACACCGGUGGCGAAAGCGGCUCUCUGGUCUGUAACUGACGCUGAGGCUCGAAAGCGUGGGGAGCGAACAGGAUUAGAUACCCUGGUAGUCCACGCCGUAAACGAUGAGUGCUAGGUGUUGGAUCCUUUCCGGGAUUCAGUGCCGCAGCUAACGCAUUAAGCACUCCGCCUGGGGAGUACGACCGCAAGGUUGAAACUCAAAGGAAUUGACGGGGGCCCGCACAAGCGGUGGAGCAUGUGGUUUAAUUCGAAGCAACGCGAAGAACCUUACCAGGUCUUGACAUCCCGAUGCUAUUCCUAGAGAUAGAAAGUUACUUCGGUACAUCGGUGACAGGUGGUGCAUGGUUGUCGUCAGCUCGUGUCGUGAGAUGUUGGGUUAAGUCCCGCAACGAGCGCAACCCCUAUUGUUAGUUGCCAUCAUUCAGUUGGGCACUCUAGCGAGACUGCCGGUAAUAAACCGGAGGAAGGUGGGGAUGACGUCAAAUCAUCAUGCCCCUUAUGACCUGGGCUGCACACGUGCUACAAUGGUUGGUACAACGAGUUGCGAGUCGGUGACGGCAAGCUAAUCUCUUAAAGCCAAUCUCAGUUCGGAUUGUAGGCUGCAACUCGCCUACAUGAAGUCGGAAUCGCUAGUAAUCGCGGAUCAGCACGCCGCGGUGAAUACGUUCCCGGGCCUUGUACACACCGCCCGUCACACCACGAGAGUUUGUAACACCCGAAGUCGGUGAGGUAACCUUUUGGAGCCAGCCGCCUAAGGUGGGAUAGAUGAUUGGGGUGAAGUCGUAACAAGGUA
rnacentral:rRNA from 1 species